CGACAAAUCACUCAAGCUCAACAAGAGAACGCUAAAAGGGAUACUGAAUGGAGAAUAAUCGCAAAUAGGACGAAAAAUGAAGGCAGUGCAGAAGAUGGUGAUGCUGACUCUCCAACAGAGAUGUGGUCUUUUUCAGUUGCUGGUCCUCUUCUAAGGAUCCCUGCACAAACACACACAGACAUUCCCAUUAUAUUUAGGGAAUUACCAUGUUUCAUGCAUGAAUAAUGAAGUGGAGAGAGGGACGGAGUGUGUGUUGUUUGGCUCAGUACCUGUGGUGAAAGUUUCAUCUUGUAAUAGGGGAGCUGCUGUUGUGUAAGAGUGGGAGGGAGAGACAUGGAGAGUGGUUUACUGCUUUUGGAAGGAACUUCAUCCAAUAACAGAGCAGCACAAUAUAUCAUCCAUAAAUUUAAAUAAACAAAACCUGAGAGAGAGAGAGAUGAAGGACAAGGGGCCUUUAGAGGCCAGUGAGCGAUUUCGCUUUUCUGUUUCACCAAUCUAUUGGUACAGUUGCGUUAACUCCUCAUAUCUGUGUUUUUUAUUCUAUCGUAUUGGAGAUUGUUUUCCAACAUUGGGCCUUACGGUUGACUACAGUACCCUGCUCCACAUUUUCGCCAUUUCCUCAACGUCUUAACACGACGCAAGCACCAAAAUAACAUGAGUGAGUCAGUGAGUGAUGUGUGGGAGGAGAGAGAGAGAAGGAAGAAGAACGGUAUUGUUAGAAAUGAAGAGAGAGAGCAAAAUUAGGCGCUUUACAGUAACAAACCUUGAGGACUCUUAUUUUGAGCAGACUGCGAUGUUUGGUGUUUAUGAACUAUUCAGAUGGGCUAAUCUAAAACCAGCUUCUUCAGCUUGAUCUCAAGUCACAGCGUUCUCGGGCGAAUCGCAUUAAGAAACCUCAAAUUAACCCUGAAAUCAAAGGACUGCUUAUUAUAAGAAUAUUUUGCAUAAAGAAAAUGAAUCCUAUUUUUGGGCCGUUACAAAUUUUCCCAUUGUGACAUUAUUUACAUCAUAGUUAAACACAUUUUCCACUAUUUUCAGUGUGAUUCACCCUCCUAGAUAUUUUUUUGGAGAGGUGUUUUUUUACCCCUCCUCUGUGCAUUGAUAUUGAUGGUACCAUUUUAAUACUUGGAGUCCUAGAAAUUCCAAUGAUGUAUGGGUAAAACAUCAGUAGGCUGAUAUUGGUGAUA
rnacentral:lncRNA from 1 species